CUGUAUGCCAAUAGUCUUUUCCUUUCAAAUCAACCGUCCCAUCCUUUAUGAUAGCAGGUUUCCAAUUAAAUGCUUUAUCUCUGCUACAUUUUGUUGCAAAAAACUCUUCACUUCUUUAGUCCGGAGGUUUUGGCCAGAGUUUAUCCAACGCGUGACGAACCAUUUCUAGGAUUCCCCUCACCAGGUAAAAGCUUUCUCUUCUCUUUAGGGCCUCCGUUGCAAUAGCAUGAGCGUAGAUAUUUUUCGCUUUUGGGACAAAAAUAAACUCAAUCUCCUGGAAACUAUUUUUUUGGUUUUGAAUAUCUCUGAUGAUUGCUCCAAUGACCGAUUUAUUAGUAUUAGAACUUUGACAUUUCUUGGUGACAGUUUUAAAAUCUCCCACAACUUCUAUUUUGUUGACUCCCAAACUAAUCCCUAGUUUUACUGCCUGUAAUCCUGCAUAUGCCUCUGCUGUAAAUGGAUUUGCAAUCUUGGAGUGAAUAACUGCCUGUGUUGCAAGGAUUUCCCCUUCUCCGUUCCAUACUAUUAGCCCUGAAGCCGAUCUAAACGACUGACGGUUGAAGGCUGCGUUAAAAUGAACUGUGGCCCUUCCCCUUUUGAAUACCUGUUGAAUAUUGCCAGUAGAAUGAAGAGUUGAUCCUGUAUCAUGACUUCCGCUGAUUCUGCUUCAGGUGAACCUGUUUCUGUUGUGUUUGCCGGUAAUCUUGUCACCAAUGCUUUUCCUCGGCAUGAGGUGGUUAAGCUAGAUGAUGGCACUUAUCUCCAAUGGCAUAAACAGCAAGAUCGACUUCUCACUUCUUGGCUUCUAUCCACGAUAAGUCCUUCUCAUCAAUCUUCGUUUAAUGAUGCUUGCACAGCGUGUGACAUAUAGACUAUGGUGAUUAAUUUGUUUGCGGCCGAUACUGGAGUGAGGCAAUCCAGGAUUCGACAUGAGCUGCAUUCUUUAAAGAAAGGUAACCUUUCUAUUAAAGCUUAUGUUGCUCGUAUUAAAGACUUGUGUGCUAUUUUAGAGACUUCUAGCUUUCUUAUCUUGGAAGAGGAGAAUAUUGAGGUGAUACUUGCGGGUUUACUGCUGGGGUUCAAGGCGGUUAUUUCUUCCACACGGUUGUUGACUGGCGUUCUCUCUUUUCAGCGCUUGGUUGAUACUCUUGUUGAAUGUGAGACUCGUCAAACGCGAUUAUUUUAGAAAGCUGUUUUGCAUGCAAAUCUUGUUGAAAAUACGCCGUCCGAUAAAGGCGCUGUUCGCGGUGGCCGUGUGUCUAGUCGUGGUCGCAGCUAGAGUUUUCGAUCUCACAUUCAAUGCUAGAUCUGUAAUCAUUUUGGUCACGUGGCUCAGAACUGCUACUACCGGUACCAUCAAGACUCGACUGGCUCGUUGGCAGUGCCUCCGAUCUCCUAUCAAGGAUACUCGUCGUCGAUCUUUGAUGGUUAUGGUGAAGGGCAGUUUGCUUGUUAAAAGAAAAAUCCAAGAGUUAAUUUUGGUCAAGAUUUUGGUCUAGGCUAUUAUGGUGCUGAUGGUUAAACUUUGUUUGGUGGAAUGAAUAGUGGGUUUCCUGCAAGUGGGUCGUCCAUGUUUUAUAAUCAAGAUGGGUAUUUUGGCCAUUUUGCUCCCAACGCGUCUAGGCCCACUAUGCGUGAGUUUGUUCCUGAUGAUGGGCCAUGGAAGAAUGGGUCAGCGUGGCAGCCUGAUUAUGAUAAAAAUGGGCAAAAUAAAUUUGUUACUGGACAUAGGCAAAAUGUCUCUCCUGGACCGAAUGUGAUGCCAUCUUCUAAUUUCGUCCAGGUUGAAUCUGGCUUCUAUAGACCGGUUGAUGGUGGUCUAGGUCUAUGACCUAUUGGUCAUAUUGGUGGUGGUCCGAUUUUGCGAUCUACUAAACCAUGCGCUCGGGUAUACACUGGGUCAGAUCCAUGUAUUGGACUUCCUCGGUUAGGUGAUUUGCAUGCUUCUGAUUUUUCUGACUCUCCUGUCAAAACUAUUCAACCUAGGUCCAAUGGUGGUGAUGAUAGUUCAUAUAUUCCUGUGCAUGUUGGUACCACUUCCUUGUAUCUUGAUUCUGGUGUGAGUAAUCAUGUCUGUCUCGAUGUGUCCGCACUACGUUAUGUCACGCUGUAUUCAGGUACGUCGAUUCUUUUAAUGGGCGAUGGUACUCCUGUAGUGAUUUCCUCAAUUGGUAAUGCUAUUCUCCCUACUCAGUCUAAAUCGUUACGCUUGUCUAAUGUUCUAUGUGUGCCGAGUAUAAGAAAAAAUCUUUUAUCGGUUUCACAAUUUGCUCAUGAUAAUGGUGUGUUUUUUGAGUUUCAUUCUACACAUUGUAUUCUUAAGGAUGUCGUGACCCGAGAGACGUUGCUGAAGGGCCACAUUCAUGAUGGGUUAUAUCAAUUUUCUGUGCCAAUGGUGUCUACUUCGUCUAAUGGUGUUCCGUUUGCUGCUCAUUCACAAGUUCAAACUAAAGUUCUAGAUUGUCCGGUGUUUGCUUUAUGGCAUAAUCGUUUAGGCCACCCGUCUGCUUCUGUGGUUAAAACUGUUCUUGAUCAAUAUAAUGUCGUUUCAAAUAAAUACUGUUUUGAUGGUAUUUGUAUUGCGUGUCAAAAAUAAGGGUCACAUAAGUUGCCUUUCUCAAUUUCGGCCACUAACUAUCUUCCUUUUGAAUUAAUUAUUUCUGAUAUUUGGGGACCUGGAUCUGUUGCGUGUGAUGAUAAGUGGUAUUACAUUUCGUUUAUUGAAAUGAGUACUAGGUUCACCUGGAUUUAUCUUUUACGACAGAAAUCUUAAGCAGUGGAAUGUUUUAUUUAGUUUUAUCAGUUAAUCAAGACACAGUUUGGUAAGUCUAUUAAGCAGUUUCAGAGCGAUUGAGGUGACGAAUAUCAUGGUCUUAUACCUGUUUUAGCCUCUCAGGGUAUUAUCCAUCGACUGACUUGUCCAUAUACUUCCGAACAAAAUGGAGUAGCUGAGCGUAAACACAGACAUAUUGUUGAAAUGGGCAUUACACUAUUAGCCCAAGCAAAUUUACCUAUGGAGUACUGGGGAUAUGCGUUUUGUUGCACAGUUCAUCUUAUAAAUCGACUUCCUACGGUUGUCUGUCAUGGCCGUUCUCCAUUUAAGGAUCUUUACAGAAAUGAUCCUACUUAUGAUCAUCUUUGGGUUUUUGGUUGUUGCUAUUACCCUUAUUUACGUCCGUUUGUAGGUCAUAAAUUGGAGUUUCACUUUCAGCCGUCUACAUUUUUGGGUUACAGCCCUCGUCAUAAAGGGUAUUAGUGUCUUUUACCAAAUGGUAAGGUUAUUGUUUCGCGACAUGUGGUAUUUGAUGAGCAGAGGUUCUUAUUUUCUGAGACUAGCUCCGAUAAACCUGUAUUGUUAUCCAGACAGAUUAGUACGACAAUUAUUCCUCUUGUAUGGCCUAUUUCUUCUCAAUCGCUUGAACCUUUCACGUCGUCACCUUCUCUACGAGAUGUUAAAUUAGUGCAAUCUCAGUCCAAUACUUCUUCGGCUGAUGUUGACUUGGUGCAAUCACCAGAUGUUUCAAGUGGUAAUGCUCGGUCUAUCACAAUAACAUCGAUUGAUGUUGACUUAGUGCAAUCACCAGAUGUUUCAAGUGGUAAUGCUCGGUCUAUUACAAGAACAUCUGAAGGUGUCUCGUCCUCUUCUGAUAGUCCGACUAGUGACAUGAGUUUUCAAGCCUAAGGUCUUAACUGAUGAAGUUGUAGAAUCUUCUACAAUUGAGGAAACUCUGGCUACUGAUGAAUGGAAAGCUGCAGCCCAAGAUGAGUAUAAUGUUCUUAUUCGUAAUUCUACGUGUGAGCUGGUUUCAGCUCCACCUAAUCGUAAGAUAAUUGGAUGUAAGUGGUUGUUCAAAAUCAAAAGGAAUUCUGAUGGUACCAUUUCUCGUCAGAAGGCUCGGUUAGUAGCGAAAGGUUACUCUCAGGUUCUGGGAUGUGAUUUUAAGGAAACUUUUAGUCUAGUGGUUAAACCAGCUACUAUUAGAGUUAUUUUUUCUGUUGCUGUUUUCAAGGGAUGGUCGCUUCGACAAGUGGAUGUCAAUAAUGCUUUUCUGAAUAGAGAUCUUGAGACUGAAGUUUUCAUACAACAGCCUCCGGGUUAUGUUCAGUAUGAUUCACAUGGCAAACCUUUGAUGUGUCGACUAAAGAAAGCGUUAUAUGGACUUCGUCAGGCUCCACGUGCCUAGUUUGAGAAGCUAAAGAGAUUUCUAGUAUCUAUUGGGGUUUGUUGUAUUGAAGUCUGAUGCAUCCUUAUUUGUUAGGAUCACGCCAGAUUCAUCACUGUAUGUUCUUGUGUAUGUUGGUGAUAUUAUUAUUACCGAUAGUGUGACAUCUGUUAUUGAGUGGUUUGUUCAGUUGUUGAACAACGAGUUCUCGCUUAAGGACAUGGGCGAUCUUCAUUAUUUUCUUGGAAUAGAGGUUGCUCUUUCUUCAUCAGGAUGUCUUCACUCGCAUUAUAUACGAGGUAUUCUUGUUCGAUGUUCGAUGGAAAAUGCAAAGAGUGUUCAUACACAGAUGAUUAGUUCCUCUGUCAUGUCUAAAGAUGAUGGUGAUCGUUUAGAGGAUUCGACCGAGUAUAAGAGUCUUGCUGGUGCAUUACAGUAUGUUACUUUUGCUAGACUUGAUGUUACAUAUGCUGUCAAUCGGAUAUGUUAGUUCAUGCAUAGUCCCGCUACUGUUCAUAUGACCAGCUUGAAGCGCAUUUUGUAAUAUUUAGCCAGCACACUUAAUUUUGGCAUUGUUUUUCGCCCGACCAUUAGUUUGACGUUAGUUGGGUAUGCUGAUGCCAACUGGGGGUUGGAUUUUGAUAAUCGGCGAUCCACUUUCGGGUUUUGUGUUUAUUUUGGGAAUACUCCCGUAUAUUGGUGCACAAAGAAACAACAAGUGGUUGCUCGGUCCACUGCUGAGGCUGAGUAUAGGAGUCUUGUUGCGGUCACGAGUGAGGUCACGUGGUUAUUAUCGUUACUUCGAGAAUUACAGAUUCAAUCUAUCGCUACACCAAAUAUUUGGUGUGAUAGUUCUGGUGCAGUUGCGGUUGCAGCUAAUCCUGUGCUACAUUCAAAGUUUAGGCAUGUUAAGUUAAAUUUGUUUUUCGUUUGUGAAAAGGUUGUUGAUGGCUCUGUUGUGGUUGGUGAGGUUUCAGCCUGUGAUCAAGUUGCUGAUGUUCUUACUAAAUCUCUGUCAGUAUCGAUUUUUACUCGGUUUCGACGUUUUCUUCGGGUUUUGCCUGUCGAGGAGAUGGAUGCAUAUUAGAGAGUAGCUUAGGAAGCUGUUAGUUAGUUUGUAUUGGGUACAAAUACAAUUGCUUAGUUUGUUGAAGAGCAGUUAUUUUUGAAACUCUAUAUAUAGGCGUUCUCAUAUGUAUAGAAGGCAUGAUUUGAAAAUAUAAAGAAAGUAUCAUUGUUAUUUUAGUUCUUUAA